rnacentral:sRNA from 2 species
CCUUAGCCCCGAUAGUAGCGGCAUCCUUUUUCAUACGCUUGGCAGGUCCCUAAAACCUGCCAAGCGUAUGAAAAAGAUAUAGCGAAUAGCGGGAACCCAU